GGUCAACCCCACCGUGUUCUUUGACAUUGCCAUUGGUGGUGAGCCCUUGGGCUGGUCUCCUUCCGAAUAUUUGCGGACAAAGUUCCAAAAAUAGCAGAAAACUUUCAUGCUCUGAACCCUGAAGAGAAAGAAUUUGCCUAUGAGGGUUCCUGCUUCCACAGAAUUAUUCCAGGUCUUGUUGCCAGGCUGGCGACUUCACAGGCCAUAAUGACACUGGCGGCAAGUCUGCAGGGAGAAAAUUGAUGACAAGGACUUCAUCCUGAUUCAUCUGGGUCCUGGUGUCUUGUCCAUGGCAAAUGCUGGACCUAACACAAACAGGUCCCAGUAUCUCACCGGCGCAGCCAGGACUGAGUGGGUGGCAAGCACGUGGUCUUUGGCAAGGUGCAUGGACACGGUGGAAGCCACGGAGCGCCUGGGCCCAGGAAUGGCACGACCAGCAGCGGAUCACCACUGCCGACUGUGGACAG
rnacentral:lncRNA from 1 species